rnacentral:rRNA from 1 species
AUUGAACGCUGGCGGUAGGCUUAACACAUGCAAGUCGAGCGAGAAAGCACUUCGGUGUGAGUAGAGCGGCGGACGGGUGAGUAACGCGUAGGAAACUGCCCAGUAGUGGGGGAUAACAUGGUGAAAACCAUGCUAAUACCGCAUACGCCCUAUGGGGGAAAGCGGGGGAUCUUCGGACCUCGUGCUAUUGGAUGUGCCUGCGUCGGAUUAGCUAGUUGGUGGGGUAAAGGCCUACCAAGGCGACGAUCCGUAGCUGGUCUGAGAGGAUGAUCAGCCACACUGGGACUGAGACACGGCCCAGACUCCUACGGGAGGCAGCAGUGGGGAAUAUUGGACAAUGGCGCAAGCCUGAUCCAGCUAUACCGCGUGUGUGAAGAAGGCCCUAGGGUUGUAAAG